GCCUUGGUGAUUAUCCCAGCCAUGUAAAAUAUAACUGAAAUUCAAUUGGCUGAUUCCUGACAUCGUCAUCUAAAAUAAUCCAUCCCUUUUUCGUGUUUGGACAGUAUAUAAACAGACAGAAUUUCAUCUUUCCCGUGGCACUCAGUAACAUCAUUCUUACGGCUACGUGGAUCGAAAGUGGGUGGGAAUCUGCCACGAUUGACAUUUGUUCAAUGGCAGCUGCUGACGGUGUGGAGAGACUCACACGGUUUGAAUAAAAUGGCCCGAGAGAGUCACCUGUUGAUCCUGUCGUGAUAUGAUGGACAUCACAGCCAGGGGGUUUGGGGAUGAUCAGCACUGAUGGAUUUGGCCUAAAUGAAUGGGGACCUGGGGGAAGAAACAUGGAGACAUUUUGAAGAGGGAUUGACCUGCUCUGAGUGCUGGGUGGAAGACUAGUGAUUUUGUUGUGAAAUUGAACAGACACUAACAACAAAACCCAGUCUGCCUCCCAGCACAGGGUACGGGGCUGCAGUGUCUUUUUUCACAUCUGGAUUUGAGCAGAAGGAUAGCCCACAUGCCUUGAUCAUCUUUAGCA
ensembl:lncRNA